AACGAACGCUGGCGGCAUGCCUAACACAUGCAAGUCGAACGAGACCUUCGGGUCUAGUGGCGCACGGGUGCGUAACGCGUGGGAACCUGCCCUUAGGUUCGGAAUAACUCCCCGAAAGGGGUGCUAAUACCGGAUAAUGUCUUCGAACCAAAGAUUUAUCGCCUUGGGAUGGGCCCGCGUUGGAUUAGCUAGUUGGUAGGGUAAAAGCCUACCAAGGCGACGAUCCAUAGCUGGUCUGAGAGGAUGAUCAGCCACACUGGGACUGAGACACGGCCCAGACUCCUACGGGAGGCAGCAGUGGGGAAUAGUGGACAAUGGGCGAAAGCCUGAUCCAGCUAUGCCGCGUGAGUGAUGAAGGCCUUAGGGUUGUAAAGCUCUUUUACCCGGGAUGAUAAUGACAGUACCGGGAGAAUAAGCUCCGGCUAACUCCGUG
rnacentral:rRNA from 1 species